rnacentral:rRNA from 1 species
UACGAAGGGGGCUAGCGUUGUUCGGAAUCACUGGGCGUAAAGCGCACGUAGGCGGAUUGUUAAGUCGGGGGUGAAAUCCUGAGGCUCAACCUCAGAACUGCCUUCGAUACUGGCAAUCUCGAGUCCGGAAGAGGUUGAUGGAACAGCUAGUGUAGAGGUGAAAUUCGUAGAUAUUAGCUAGAACACCAGUGGCGAAGGCGGCCAACUGGUCCGGUACUGACGCUGAGGUGCGAAAGCGUGGGGAGCAAACAGG